rnacentral:piRNA from 1 species
UAGGAAAACCUACCAAUCCUGAAAUUCCA